UACGUAGGCAGCGAGCGUUGUUCGGAAUUACUGGGCGUAAAGAGUGUGUAGGCGGUGCUCCCAGUCUGUUGUGAAAAUCUCCCGGCUUAACUGGGAGGGUGCAGCGGAAACUAGAGUGCUAGAGGGUGGGAGAGGUAAGCGGAAUUCCUGGUGUAGCGGUGAAAUGCGUAGAUAUCAAGAGGAACACCUGUGGUGUAGACAGCUUACUGGACCACUUCUGACGCUGAGACACGAAAGCGUGGGUAGCAAACAGG
rnacentral:rRNA from 1 species